GACGGGGGGGGCAAGUGUUCUUCGGAAUGACUGGGCGUAAAGGGCACGUAGGCGGUGAAUCGGGUUGAAAGUGAAAGUCGCCAAAAAAGUGGCGGAAUGCUCUCGAAACCAAUUCACUUGAGUGAGACAGAGGAGAGUGGAAUUUCGUGUGUAGGGGUGAAAUCCGUAAAUAUACGAAGGAACGCCAAAAGCGAAGGCAGCUCUCUGGGUCCCUACCGACGCUGGGUGCGAAGCAUGGGGAGCGAACAGG
rnacentral:rRNA from 1 species